AAUCAGACACUACAUAUUUAAGGAACAAAUUAAAGAGAAAAUAUACUUUGUUGUCAUUGUUGAAUCAUACUGUAUUUAACUUUUUUUAAUCCCAGAGAAGUGAAAUGCAACAUCUGUUGAGUUCAUGUAACAUCCAAAGACUGACAACUCAGAAUUUCCUAAGUAAAGUCAUUUUAAGGCACUCUGCAGAGCCAGCUUUCAUCUCUCCCUUCAUUGGGUUUUUCUCCGAACUGUAGCAGAAUACCUGGUUUCUCUUUCUUCAAAGUGAUACACACAUGCUCAUGCGCUUAACCUGCUCUUCUGUCCUCGACAACACCGACAAACAGGACAAUUCCAGGGGGAAGCAGGGAAGGACGGACAUAUGGGGGAGAGCAGGAAAGGAGACAGCAGAGUGGACAUAUAUGACCAAAUUAACAGAUGCGGCUGUAGCAGAAAACACAAGGAGCAGGAAGAAACUGGAACAGGGUGGGGUAGACCAGAUGGCUAGUGCCUGGUGAAAAAUAAGCUACAUUACCCAAGGAGGUUUAAAUUAAUUUAACUGUUUUUUUUUUUCUUUUUUCAUUUUUAAGACAGGGCCAAUGUAAGGGAGGUAUCUCAAAAUUCUGGAACAUCUAUAUCAGUAAGUGUGCUUUCUUGUGCUUACGUGCUUAGGAAGGGCUGAUCUGAGAGACGGGUAUGAUGUGGGGGGCUCUGAAAUGCCCUCUGAUAAAAAUAAGCUCCUGGGGCCAGGGAUUCAGCUCAGUGGUUCCACCACCUGUCUCAAAAGCACAAGGUCCCGAGUUUGAUCCCUGGUACCAAAAAAAAAAAAAAGCUCCCUUACCAGCCCACUUCUGUGCCUGGAAUUUCCACCACUACAGCUCUCCUCUGGAUUAAGGCAUUAUCUGUAGCCCCUUUAAAACAUAAAUGUCACCUGGGAAACUAACACUCAACUCUUUAGCACCCACUGCUGAAUUGCCACCUGUCAGAGAGCAGGACCCUGAGAGAUGGGACUUGGGGCAGGGACAUUCUGAUGAAUGAGUUGGAAAAGGAUGCCUGGUGGUAUGAAUGAAGGAUGGGGAGGGGCCAGGCAGCUGAGGGGUGCAACAUGGUGCUUGUCCCAGGAAAGUACUUAGACGGGGGAUGAAGGUUAACAAAAUGAGCUCUUCCCACAGCACAGGCUUCCAUAGGUGCUGUGUGUGUGUGUGUGUGUGUGUGUGUGUGUGUGUGUAGUGUGCCCAGCAGUUUUUAAUAUUACAACAUUCUGCGUAUAUAUAGAAUAUAAGAUUCACUUGAGCCCAUCCUGAAAUAGUACAACUCCAGUGAGUGAAAGACAGCAAAGUCCUCAAUUGCUUUCAUGGAAAAUGUCAUCACUGUAAAGUUGAAAUUAGUAUCUCUAUAGACCUAGAUAGUGAACAGGCAGACAGUGUAUGCAUAUAUACACAUGCACACAUACAUUUACACACACAUUUACUCACACUCAGCAGUGUGGCUCUCAUAAAUGUCAAGGGUGAGACGCCUCUUCUCAGCCAUCUAGGAUUUGGAUGUGUGGUGGCUGCCGCCAGGAUUUUGGACAAAGGACUUAGCUUGGGGGCAAUGGGACCCCUUCCUUGGUCACCAGUAGACCUUCUGUUAUUGAGAUGGAACAGCAGAAAUGGCCAAGCCUUGGAUUAUAAAAACUGGCAUGAGUCUUACCGUUAGGAUUGGGACUUGGAGACAGGAAUGUCAAUGAUGUGCCCUUUUAAACUUCUAGAGUUUGGGAGACUGGGGGAGGCACAGGUGGAGAGAGAAUCCAGGCAGGGGACAGGUUUCUGCUCCUAGAAAAGUUGGAAAUCACCUACCUGGGAGCAGACCCCACUCUCAGCAUUUGGCUCCGGGGACCUGCUACCACUCCAGGGAUCUGUCAGGGAGGAAGUCAGCUGGAGGAAUGGGAAGAGGACUCUAGAGGAAGCUUGGGAAUGACAGGAGGAUGGGUUCUGGGUUGUGGAGAGGGGUGAAGAACGGAAGACACCAGAAAUACUUCUUAACCCUAUUUUCACAUUGGAGUUAUCUGGGGGAACUUAGAAAGCACGGAUGCCUGACAUCUACCCUUGGAGAUUCUGCUGUAACUGUUUUGGAGAGGACAUCAGGCAUGGACACUCUUUCUAGCUCCUCAGAUGAUUCUAAUGUGCACCUGGUGAUAAGGAUAUGGCCCCAAAGCAGGAUGAGGACUCUAGUCAGGGAAAGAGUUGAAGGGGAGCAUAGGUACAAGGGGAGUGGGUUGAGAGGAUUCUCAGAGUUUCGGUCUAGACAGUCGAGCCUGUGCUGAUUUGGGUGGUGGCUUUACAGCCUUCUAGCUGGUGUUUUCUAAUGUCAUUUCUGGUUGAAAAAUCUGGCUGGGGUGGAAGUGUUUGGGCAUAAGGAGAGACUUUCCCCUCUUUUUCCUGUGUCUUCCAAGAGGAAUAAUUCACUGUGCUCUACGGGGGCCAAGAAGACACAUUCUGGGAUUGAUGCUUCAAAGAGGGAAGUGGACUUUCUGCUGUAGAAUAAAUACAUAUUUCAUAAGUAAAUUAAGUCAGUAGGUAUGCCGAUAAAUAAAGCAAUAAAUAAAACAAUCACAACAUUUUUGUUCUCUUAGGGGAGUUCUCCACUUGUUCCACUAAUUCUGAUCAUGUACACUCUACCCUUGGCCACUGGAAGGCACUCAGCCUGGCCAUGGUAGGGGAAAGCACUGCUUUGGCCCUGGCUCUCCAAGGAUUGGAGACCUUGGAGAAAGCACAAGAGAUUAUUAACACUGGCCACCCACGUGGAGGGGGAGGAGCAGGGGAGUCCACACCUUCCUCUGUUUCCUACCCAAGACUGUGUAGGGACAGGAGGCAGGGUUUGGGAACCAAGGCUGGGCCAUGUUAGAUAUUGAAGCCCAGGCUGACCAGCUCUUUGUCCUUGGGAGGCUUCACCGGGUGGGUUUGGGAUGGACUUGAGGUCUGGAUGAACCCAAUCUUUCCACACACAAAAAAGAUACAGCAGGCAUAACUCCCAAUUCAACACAGCCCGCCACCAGCCAACCAGUCGGCCCAGUUGGGCACAUGGUAGGGUACUGGAUAGGAGGGACUGGUCACAGGAUGGGAGGGUGGCGAGGAGACAGGCAGGAUGGCACGCGAUUUAAUGGAAACCAGCUGUCCAGGGCUUCAGCUUCUGGAGCCACCAGCCAGUGCUCAUUUCCUCCUCCUUAGUCUCUGCCAUGUGGUUCUGCUUGCUGGGCUUUGCCUUGUCUACUAGGAGACCUGCAUGAAGACAUGGAAACACGUAAACAGAGCGGAUAUUAAGACAGUGAGCAAAGAAAUGCUAUUCUUUC
rnacentral:lncRNA from 1 species